rnacentral:lncRNA from 1 species
ACCUUGGAAGAACAAGAAACAUCUUUCUUUACUGAUGACGAUGAUUUCAUGGUAUUUGAAGAAUUCCAAUGGUCAUGGCUUUUGACGUCGGGGUUCCUAGAACUCUCAAAGCAAGUUUGUGAAGUCUCUAUAGGUGUAAAGCUAAAAGUGCUUUUGUUGUUCAUUGGAUUGAUUACAAUAGAUGAUGGAUAAGAAGCCAAAGAUUGUUGAGAGUCUUCUGCAACUGCGACUUUCUUCUCUUGUGUGUCAAAUUCUUCAUCAAGAGAAUUCAUCUGCAAAACAUAUAUUGGAUUAAUUAGAACAAUAUAAUAGUAUAUACACACAUGCAGUACCUAAUUUUUGCAUCAAAGUAAGCUAAAAUUAAAAUAUAUAUACCAUUUCCGAAAACCAUGCGAUCGAAGAGAUCUCUUCUAAUUCAGUUUUCAUGAUUUCUUGACCUAAAGAUCCAAACAAGAAAAAUACCAAAGAGUAUGAUUAUAUGUACACACAGAAAGAUUGCUUAAAGCUAAGUUGUCAAAACCUUUGAAACAUAGUAAAAAGAAUGCUUUCUCUCCAUGAAGUCAUCAACAUGGAAGAAGAAGAAGAAAGAAGUGAAAACUCACCUUAACCUUCAACAAAACACAAA